rnacentral:rRNA from 1 species
AGUGAACGCUGGCGGUAGGCCUAACACAUGCAAGUCGAACGGCAGCACAGUAAGAGCUUGCUCUUACGGGUGGCGAGUGGCGGACGGGUGAGGAAUACAUCGGAAUCUACUUUUUCGUGGGGGAUAACGUAGGGAAACUUACGCUAAUACCGCAUACGACCUACGGGUGAAAGCAGGGGAUCUUCUGACCUUGCGCGAUUGAAUGAGCCGAUGUCGGAUUAGCUAGUUGGCGGGGUAAAGGCCCACCAAGGCGACGAUCCGUAGCUGGUCUGAGAGGAGGAUCAGCCACACUGGAACUGAGACACGGUCCAGACUCCUACGGGAGGCAGCAGUGGGGAAUAUUGGACAAUGGGCGCAAGCCUGAUCCAGCCAUACCGCGUGGGUGAAGAAGGCCUUCGGGUUGUAAAGCCCUUUUGUUGGGAAAGAAAAGCAGCAGGUUAAUACCCCGCUGUUCUGACGGUACCCAAAGAAUAAGCACCGGCUAACUUCGUG